rnacentral:rRNA from 1 species
GACGAACGCUGGCGGCGUGCUUAACACAUGCAAGUCGAAGCGGUAAGGCCCUUUCGGGGGUACACGAGCGGCGAACGGGUGAGUAACACGUGGGUGACCUGCCCUCAGCUCUGGGAUAAGCCUGGGAAACCGGGUCUAAUACCGGAUAUGACUCCAUGACGCAUGUUGUGGGGUGGAAAGCCUUGUGCGGCUGAGGAUGGGCCCGCGGCCUAUCAGCUUGUUGGUGGGGUGAUGGCCUACCAAGGCGACGACGGGUAGCCGGCCUGAGAGGGCGACCGGCCACACUGGGACUGAGACACGGCCCAGACUCCUACGGGAGGCAGCAGUGGGGAAUCUUGCGCAAUGGGCGAAAGCCUGACGCAGCGACGCCGCGUGAGGGAUGACGGCC